rnacentral:rRNA from 1 species
GGCCUAACACAUGCAAGUCGAGCGGUAGCACAGAGAAGCUUGCUUCUUGGGUGACGAGCGGCGGACGGGUGAGUAACGCGUGGGAAUCUACCUGGUAGUGGGGGACAACAGUCGGAAACGACUGCUAAUACCGCAUACGCCCUUCGGGGGAAAGUGGGGGAUCUUCGGACCUCACGCUAUCAGAUGAGCCCGCGUCGGAUUAGCUUGUUGGUGAGGUAAAGGCUCACCAAGGCGAUGAUCCGUAGCUGGUCUGAGAGGAUGACCAGCCACACUGGGACUGAGACACGGCCCAGACUCCUACGGGAGGCAGCAGUGGGGAAUAUUGGACAAUGGGGGCAACCCUGAUCCAGCCAUGCCGCGUGUGUGAAGAAGGCCUUCGGGUUGUAAAGCACUUUCAGCUGUGAGGAAAGGUGAGUGGUUAAUACCCGCUUGCUGUGACGUUAACAGCAGAAGAAGGACCGGCUAACUCCGUGCCAGCAGCCGCGGUAAUACGGAGGGUCCGAGCGUUGAUCGGAAUUACUGGGCGUAAAGCGCGCGUAGGUGGUUCAGUCAGUCAGAUGUGACAGCCCCGGGCUCAACCUGGGAACUGCACCUGAUACUGCUGAGCUAGAGUACGGUAAAGGGUAGUGGAAUUUCCGGUGUAGCGGUGAAAUGCGUA